rnacentral:rRNA from 1 species
AUUGAACGCUGGCGGCAUGCCUAACACAUGCAAGUCGAACGGCAGCACGGUCUAGUUUACUAGAUGGGUGGCGAGUGGCGCACGGGUGAGUAAUACGUAGGAAUAUACCUUAAAGAGGGGGAUAACUUGGGGAAACUCAAGCUAAUACCGCAUAAUUUCUAAGGAGGAAAGCUGGGGACCAUUUGGCCUGGCGCUUUAAGAUUAGCCUACGUCCGAUUAGCUAGUUGGUAGGGUAAAGGCCUACCAAGGCGACGAUCGGUAGCUGGUCUGAGAGGAUGAUCAGCAACACUGGGACUGAGACACGGCCCAGACUCCUACGGGAGGCAGCAGUGGGGAAUAUUGGACAGUGGGGGCAACCCUGAUCCAGCGAUGCCGCGUGUGUGAAGAAGGCCUACGGGUUGUAAAGCACUUUCGGUGGGGAGGAGGGCUUAUAGGUUAAGAGCUGAUAAGUUGGACGUUACCCACAAAAGAAGCACCGGCUAACUCCGUGCCAGCAGCCGCGGUAA